GUGCUUGCGUUGGCAGCACGUACUAAAACUGGAACAAUACAGAGAAGUUAGCAUGGCCUCUGCGCAAGAAUAACACACAAAUUCGUAAAGACAGGAUUGUGGUC
ensembl:snRNA U6 U6 spliceosomal RNA